AGCCCCACUGCUGCAGCAGGCCAAGGGCAUGCAGCCCCGCCAGCCCUGGCACGAAGAGCUCAGCAUCCAGGGCGGCCACCUACCGUCCAUCCUCCUCCUUCCUUUCCAGCCAUGCUCUUCCUGCUGACAGGCACAUCCUAGCGCCGGCUUUCUCCAGCAUGUAUCAGAGGCUGCCCAGUGGUGUCAGAGCUUCCUCAGGGUGCACGUGAGCAAGGUGAGCACAGAAUUUAUCUCCCAAACCACAACACUUUGCAGUUAAAGAGAGCACUAGUCACAAAUGCGUCAGGUCAGCAGGCGUAAACUGGGGCUCUCCAGUCAACCCAGGACCCAACCCCCACACAGCAGGGCAGGGGGUGCCAAACAGAACACUUCCCACACCAACCUUAAAUCCCACACACUUUAAGGUUGAACCCAAGCCUCGAACCCCUGGGCCCAGGAAUUCGAGGUUGAACCCAAUCUCUGGCACUUUGUAUUCAUGAGCUCACCUGCCUCACUUUCCUCAUCUUGUAUGGGGUUACAAAGAGGACUUGAAGAAGGGGCCUCCUGUCUGCUGGAACAGGCUCCAGAAAGUUACAGAGCACUGGCUGUUACUGUAGCUGUGAU